UUGCUCGCUUGGGCAGCACAUUUACUAAAAUUGGAACAAUACAGAGGAGAUUAGCAUGGCCUCUGAGCAAGGAUGACAAGCAAAUUCGUGAAGCAUUUCAUUUUUUA
rnacentral:snRNA from 1 species